UUAGCAGUGAUGAGCAGCUAACACGUAAGAAGAUCCUACUUUGUGUAGGAUUUUCAAUGAAAUACAAUUGUUACGCUUGGCUUCUGAGCACU
rfam:Prunus persica cultivar Lovell chromosome G7, whole genome shotgun sequence.